rnacentral:rRNA from 1 species
UACAGAGGGUGCGAGCGUUAAUCGGAGUUACUGGGCGUAAAGGGCGCGUAGGCGGUGGAAUGUGAGUGAUGUGAAAGCCCCGGGCUUAACCUGGGAAGAGCAUCGCAGACUAUUUUACUGGAGUAUAAGAGAGGGUGGCGGAAUUUCCGGUGUAGCGGUGAAAUGCGUAGAGAUCGGAAGGAACGUCAAUGGCGAAGGCAGCCACCUGGCUUAAUACUGACGCUGAGGCGCGAAAGCGUGGGUAGCGAACAGGAUUAGAUACCCUGGUAGUCCACGCUGUAAACGAUGAUAACUAGAUGUUGGUUGGGGAACCAAUCGGUAUCGAAGCUAACGCGAUAAGUUAUCCGCCUGGGAAGUACGGCCGCAAGGUUGAA